AGAACGUCACAUUCAGUGCUCACACAGUCAACAACAAGACAGAAAGGAGAUAAAACUCAUUAGAAGCCUUUUAUGUUAAUUAUACUCUUCAGAAAAUAUGGAAAAAGCUCCACUUGUUAAAGAGAUGAACGCUGUGCUCGUGGGAUCGAACAGCUCGCGUAAAUAUCUAGUUGGAAACCUCAUCCUCGAAGAGGCGUUUGAUGUAGGAGAUAUAACAUCCUGUUGCGAGAGGAGAGAGGGAGAAGUGUGCGGGCGAAAGGUCACAUUGGUCAAAGCCCCCGGGUGGCUACGAGGAUAUGACCACUGCAAUACACCCGAACUUUUCAAGACUGAAGCGAUUCUCAGUGUCACACCGGGACUGCAUGGUUUUAUCCUUGUGGUUAAUGCUGAACUACCAUUCAAGAACAUAAACAAGAAGGCAAUUAAGAAGCACAUGCAACACUUUUUUGGUGACAAAGUGUGGGAUCACACAAUAGUAGUCUUCACCCACAGAGAUCGUCUCAGCUACAGCGACAUUGAGGAUUACAUCAGGAGGGAAGGGGUGCCAAUCCAGUCGCUUCUAGAGGCCUGUGGUAACAGAUACCACAUUCUUUGUAAUGAUGACACAGACAACGAGAAAGUCAAAGAACUUUUUGAGAAGAUUGACGCCAUGGUGGCAGAAAACAGUUGUUAUGAAAUCGACAGCGAGCGGAUACAAAAUGCAGAAUCGAAGAAGAAGGAAGUGAACGAAAAAGCUGACGAGUUGCGUCUGCGGUCACACCAACAAAGGCAAAAUCUCAGGAAUCUACUGACAGAGCCAACACUCGACCUGAGAAUCCUGAUGGUUGGAUGGGUGUUUUCUGCAAAGAGUGCAACUGGGAACAAAAUUUUGAGCACUAAGGUGUUUCAGUCUGGGGGCAGAACAGUGAACGCUUUAAAGCAUAGUGACAAAGUGGCUGGAAGACAGGUUGUCAUCGUGGACACUCCUGGAUGGUGGAAAUUCUUCCCAGCGAGGUUUAACCCUUCUUUUUUAAAGCCAGAGAUUUUAAAAGGGGUUUCUCUCUGCUCGCCAUCACCAAAUGUCAUUUUGCUGGCAGUGCCGGUGGACACAUCAUUUACAGAUGAACAAAGAAGAGUCACAGAAGAGAACAUGAGGAUACUUGGACAGAGAGUGUGGAGACAUGUAAUCGUGCUGUUUACAUUUGGGGAAGCUUUGGGGGACAAUACUAUUGAGCAACACAUUGAAAGUGAAGGAAAGCCUCUCCGUUGGCUUAUAGAGAAAUGUGGAAACAGGUAUCACGUCCUUGACAACAUGAGAAAAGAUCAAGAUCAGGUAACAGAGCUGCUGGAGAAGAUGGAGGAAAUGGUGGCAGGAAACAGCUCUUUCUACGUCAGUCCCUACCCUGAUGCAGAUGAUCCAAGACCUCAGGAAGACAUAAGUGACAAAGCAACUAAAUGCGAAGAUGAACCACCCAGGGAGAUCACAGAACAACUCAGCAUUGAAUGGGAUCGCAGUUACUGGGAAAGGCAGUAAGGGAAUACCACCAAGAUUUAGUGAUGAGGAAUCAAAGCCUGGCAGCUCCAAAGGCGAGGAAGACGAUGACCAGUUUAACAGACGUUUUGAACUUGAAGUAAGAAGUGAAGAUGGGGACAGAUGGAGGAUACUGCUGGAGAGAGAGUGGAGCAGACGAGAGGUGGCCAUGGAGCAGACUUCUUGGAAAUAUUUCUACAGUCCUUUCUUGGGAGCCAUCUCUGAGCCAGACAGUGAGAUUCUGUGGAAAUCAAGAAAUAAAGUAGCAAAAUGGCUGGAAACCCAACAUUCAUCAUCUGGGUAUGGAACAACCUCCAAUGCAAGCUUUUGCUCAGAGAAACAGGAUGAACAAAGAAUAGAGGGAGAUGUUUUGGCAUGUAAGUGAUCUAGACCAUUGGUGGCAAGGAGGAGGAGGAGGACAUCUCUUAAAAACUUGUAAAAGUCUGUCUCUGUAGACUGUAGAGAGACCAGUGCUCGCUGUCAAAUUACUAACCUUGCAGAGCAGAUAUUUUGCAUUUAUUUCAGUGACUGGCCUCCUUUGGCCUGCGUUUGUUCAUGCAGGACUAAAGUUGGUUAAAAUGAUCAACAUGAUACAUUAUUAUUCUGGCAAAAGUCUAAAAUUGAAUUGGCAUAAAUCUCACAUCUAAUUAAAAAAACAAGACUUUGUUCUUCAGAUGAAAUAUUGUUAGGUCUACUGAAAAUGACAAAAUAAAAGUAAGUAUUCUUUCAUUGUUUGAUGUUAUUUUUAUUUUUAUCUAGCUGUUUAUUAUCUCGCUGAUCUGUGCUGCAGGGUUUUCUGUUGGAAAUGGUGGCGGCGGCAUAUGUUGUGAUGUGCAGGUUAAAUACUUGGAAGUGAGAUAUGCUCCAUUUUCCAGGAAAUGCAUCUGCAGUAACCCGUGAUUUUUUGUAUUUAUGAUGACUUUAUUCAUCCCAAGGGAAAUUGUUGUGUCACUCUUACAAUAUAAAGCUGAAAAGAGUGUAAAUAUAAUGAAUAUAUUAUAAAUAGUAAACAUGUAUUAAAUGUGCAUUAAAUUGUCAAUCAACAUACAUAAUAAACAAAAUAAAUAAAAAAACAACAAAAUAUUAACAAGGUUAAGAAUCGCAAGUUGCUGUGUAAUUGAUAUGUAUGCCUGUGUGUAGUCUAUGCAAAAUUAAGACACCUUCUACAAUCAUUAA